CAUACUCUUUCAAAAGCCUUUCAGCAGUCUAAACAAGAAGACAGCAAGGCCCGUUUGGUUAGGGAGAAAUGCAUAAAAUGGAAAAGAAUCUACUUUUAUUAUUUUUCUUCAUUUGGUUAGAAACUAAUGGAUUGGAAUAGCAUUCUCAUGAAAUGGUUCUUUACACCAUUUUGGUGAAAGGUCACUCCAAAGCAUAAUUAGAAUCUUUUACUCGUGUCUAAAUAAAAAAAGCUCUUAAAGUGUUUAUUAGACAAAUAAUAGCUGUUGAUGCAAGUGUGACUUGUAAAAGAAUAUACAAGUAUGUAUGCAUAUAUUUGUUGUGUUGAUUUUAACCUUUUUAAAAGAGCAUGUCAACAUCUGACAUUUUUCUUGUUUUAUAAUGUUGAUUAAAAUGAAUAGGUUAAUAUUUUGAUUGGUCUUAAAGCAUUGAAUUGGUAGCUAAUUGCAAGAGUUCACCUCCGACAAGCCAUAUACUACUCAAGAAAUUGACGAAGUUAGAGAAGAAUGGGAAAUGUUAUUUUUACAAUUGGUUAGAGCAAAAUGAAUGAUGUUAUAGCUAGCUAAUUACAAUACAUGUUUAGAAAUUUUAAAUUUAUUUCGUAAAAAUUUUUUGCCAUUUUUUUAGAAUUUUCUUUUCAAAUUUCUUUUGAUACAUAUUCGACACUCAAAUGGAUAUAUAUUUUUAAAUCAAAAUUAAAAUUGUAGC